CGUGUAGGCGGAGAUGCAAGUUGGGAGUGAAAUCCCGGGGCUCAACCCCGGAACUGCUUUCAAAACUGCAUCCCUUGAGUAUCGGAGAGGCAAGCGGAAUUCCUAGUGUAGCGGUGAAAUGCGUAGAUAUUAGGAGGAACACCAGUGGCGAAGGCGGCUUGCUGGACGACAGCUGACGCUGAGGCGCGAAAGCGUGGGGAGCAAACA
rnacentral:rRNA from 1 species